AGCGAACGCUGGCGGCAGGCCUAACACAUGCAAGUCGAACGAAGUCUUCGGACUUAGUGGCGGACGGGUGAGUAACACGUGGGAACGUACCUUUUGGUUCGGAACAACUCAGGGAAACUUGAGCUAAUACCGAAUGUGCCCUUAGGGGGAAAGAUUUAUCGCCAUUAGAGCGGCCCGCGUUAGAUUAGCUAGUUGGUGAGGUAAAGGCUCACCAAGGCGACGAUCUAUAGCUGGUCUGAGAGGAUGAUCAGCCACACUGGGACUGAGACACGGCCCAGACUCCUACGGGAGGCAGCAGUGGGGAAUCUUGCGCAAUGGGCGAAAGCCUGACGCAGCCAUGCCGCGUGAAUGAUGAAGGUCUUAGGAUUGUAAAAUUCUUUUAGCAGGGACGAUAAUGACGGUACCUGCAGAAAAAGCCCCGGCUAACUUCGUGCCAGCCGCCGCUGUAA
rnacentral:rRNA from 1 species